GACGAACGCUGGCGGCGUGCCUAAUACAUGCAAGUCGUGCGGACCUUGUUGAAAGCUUGCUUUUAAAAGGUUAGCGGCGGACGGGUGAGUAACACGUGGGCAACCUGCCUGUAAGACUGGGAUAACGCCGGGAAACCGUGGCUAAUACCAGAUCGUUUUUUCCUCCGCAUGGAGGAAAAAGGAAAGGCGGCUUCGGCUGCUACUUACAGAUGGGCCCGCGGCGCAUUAGCUAGUUGGCGGGGUAAUGGCCCACCAAGGCAACGAUGCGUAGCCGACCUGAGAGGGUGAUCGGCCACAUUGGGACUGAGACACGGCCCAAGCUCCUACGGGAGGCAGCAGUAGGGAAUCUUCCGCAAUGGACGAAAGUCUGACGGAGCAACGCCGCGGGAGUGAAGAAGGCCUUCGGGUCGUAAAACUCUGUUGCCGGGGAAGAACAAGUGCCGUUCGAACAGGGCGGCGCCUUGACGGUACCCGGCCAGAAAGCCACGGCUAACUACGUG
rnacentral:rRNA from 1 species